UUAGCUUAGCGGCGGACGGGUGAGUAAUGCUUAGGAAUCUGCCUAUUAGUGGGGGACAACAUUCCGAAAGGAAUGCUAAUACCGCAUACGCCCUACGGGGGAAAGCAGGGGAUCUUCGGACCUUGCGCUAAUAGAUGAGCCUAAGUCGGAUUAGCUAGUUGGUGGGGUAAAGGCCUACCAAGGCGACGAUCUGUAGCGGGUCUGAGAGGAUGAUCCGCCACACUGGGACUGAGACACGGCCCAGACUCCUACGGGAGGCAGCAGUGGGGAAUAUUGGACAAUGGGCGGAAGCCUGAUCCAGCCAUGCCGCGUGUGUGAAGAAGGCCUUUUGGUUGUAAAGCACUUUAAGCGAGGAGGAGGCUCUUAAGGUUAAUACCCUUGAUGAGUGGACGUUACUCGCAGAAUAAGCACCGGCUAACUCUGUGCCAGCAGCCGCGGUAAUACAGAGGGUGCGAGCGUUAAUCGGAUUUACUGGGCGUAAAGCGUGCGUAGGCGGCUGAUUAAGUCGGAUGUGAAAUCCCUGAGCUUAACUUAGGAAUUGCAUUCGAUACUGGUCAGCUAGAGUAUGGGAGAGGAUGGUAGAAUUCCAGGUGUAGCGGUGAAAUGCGUAGAGAUCUGGAGGAAUACCGAUGGCGAAGGCAGCNAUCUGGCCUAAUACUGACGCUGAGGUACGAAAGCAUGGGGAGCAAACAGGAUUAGAUACCCUGGUAGUCCAUGCCGUAAACGAUGUCUACUAGCCGUUGGGGCCUUUGAGGCUUUAGUGGCGCAGCUAACGCGAUAAGUAGACCGCCUGGGGAGUACGGUCGCAAGACUAAAACUCAAAUGAAUUGACGGGGGCCCGCACAAGCGGUGGAGCAUGUGGUUUAAUUCGAUGCAACGCGAAGAACCUUACCUGGUCUUGACAUAGUAAGAACUUUCCAGAGAUGGAUUGGUGCCUUCGGGAACUUACAUACAGGUGCUGCAUGGCUGUCGUCAGCUCGUGUCGUGAGAUGUUGGGUUAAGUCCCGCAACGAGCGCAACCCUUUUCCUUAUUUGCCAGCACUUCGGGUGGGAACUUUAAGGAUACUGCCAGUGACAAACUGGAGGAAGGCGGGGACGACGUC
rnacentral:rRNA from 1 species